rnacentral:rRNA from 1 species
UGCAGCCAGAUUAGCAUGCAUGUCUAAGCACAAGCCCAAGAAUGGUAAAGCCGCGAAUGGCUCAUUACAACAGCCAUAGUUUACUGGAUCUUACAUUCCUACUUGGAUAACUGUGGUAAUUCUAGAGCUAAUACACGCACGAAAGCUCUGACCUUACGGAAGGAGCGCAUUUAUUAGAACAAAACCAAUCGGACCGCAAGGUCCGCCAAUUGGUGAAUCUGAAUAACUUUGCCGAUCGCAUGGUCUCGUACCGGCGACGUAUCUUUCAAAUGUCUGCCUUAUCAACUUUAGAUGGUAGUUUACACGCCUACCAUGGUUGUAACGGGUAACGGAGAAUAAGGGUUCGACUCCGGAGAGGGAGCCUGAGAAAUGGCUACCACAUCCAAGGAAGGCAGCAGGCACGCAAAUUACCCACUCCCGGCACGGGGAGGUAGUGACGAAAAAUAACGAGGCGGUUCUCUACGAGGCCCGCCAUCGGAAUGGGUACAAUUUAAAUCCUUUAACGAGGAUCUAUUGGAG